CGCAGGGCUCCGCGCGCCGAAUCCGCCUCACCUGGAAAUUGCCCACCACCGAGGUGCCCAGGGCACAGAGGAGCCCCGUCCACAGGAUCAGCUGGUUAGGCCACUUUCCGACCCCCCAGUCCCGGAGCUGGUGAAACCCAGCCUUCUGAGCGCCUCCCUAUCGGACCCGGGAGUCCAGACCCCGGCCCUCCUCCCUCGGGCCCAGGCAUCAGCCUGCCUUCAACACUCACACGGUCCAGACGCCGGAGACUGCCCAGAGGGCCAGGAAGGCGGGCAGCAGGGACAGAGGGAGCGCUGCGUGACCCUCGUGCAAGGGAGAGAGCGUGGGGAAGACGUCAUGGGCUCCUCCAGUCUCUGCCUUCACUUCUCCCCUCGGGAUCCUGCCUCACUGUAAUGAGCACAGCUCUCUGCUGCGUCCUGUGAGUCCCAGGGUAUUUCCAGCCAUCGGGUGGUCUUGGGGACCUUCGACACGCAAGUAAAAAGAAGUACAAUUGAUGAUUGUAUAUUGUCUUUGUAUCCAGAAGACUUGUUAAAUUCUGUAAUUAAUUCUGAGACUUUUCCGGGAGCAUCUUUAGGAUCUUCUCGGUGCAUAGUUCUACCUGUGACGAACGGCCGCUCUGUUCCUUUCUUUUUGAUUCUCAGACGUGUUCUUUCUUUUUCUUGCCUUGUCACACUGGCCUCUGUCUUCACAACUUGCUGAAUGCAGUGGCAAAGGGGGCAUCCCUGUGCUGUUCCUGAUUUCAAAGGAUCUGCUUUCAGUGUUUCACCAUUAAAUACGAAUUUCUUUCAGGUUUUCUACUGUGAUAAAAUAUGCAUGACAUAAUUUUUACCCUUUAACCAUGUUUAAGUGUAAAGUUCAGUUGUAUUAAGUACAGUUGCAUUGUUGUGCAACCAUCACCACCGUCUAUGUCCAGAACUUUAUCAUCAUCCCAGAUGGAAACUUUACACCCAUUAACCAAUACCUUCCCCCAUUCCUCUUCCACCAGCCCCCCAGCAAUCUGUCCCCCUGAGUUUGGCAAUUCAGACGCCUCAUAUAAGUGGAGCCAUACCGCAUUUGUCAUUUUGUGACUGGCUCAUUUCACUUAGGAAAUUGUUUUCAACAUUCGUUCAUACUGUAGCAUGUGUCAGAGUUUCCACAUUUUAUUUAUUCAUUUAUCAGUUGAUGAAUAUUUGGGUUAGUUCCACCUUUCCACUCUUGUGAAUAAUGUUGCAAUAAACAAUGUUGCAAUGAACAUUCAUGCACAAGUUUUUGUGUGGAUGGAGAUUUUCAUUUUCCUGGGUAUAUGCCCAGGAGUAGAAGGGCAGGUCACAUGUUAACAUUUUGAGGAAGUAUUUGACCGUUUUCCACUAUUUCCCACCCCCACCAGCAAAUGCACGAGAGUUCCAAUUUCUCAACAUGCUCAACAGGGCUUGGAUUGAGCUGCUUUUUGAUGAUUGCCAUCCUGGCAGGUGUGAGGUUAUAUCUCACUGUGGUUUUGAUUUCCAUUUCUCUGAUGUAUCAUGAUGGUGGGCUUCUUUUUAUGUGCUCAUUGGCCAUUUGUGUAUUUUUGGAGAAACAGAUCCUUUGUCCAUUUUUUAAUUAGGUUGCUUGUCUUUAUUAUUGAGUUG